UACGGAGGGUGCGAGCGUUGUCCGGAAUUAUUGGGCGUAAAGGGCUCGUAGGCGGCCAACUAAGUCAGACGUGAAAUCCCUCGGCUUAACCGGGGAACUGCGUCUGAUACUGGAUGGCUUGAGUUUGGGAGAGGGAUGCGGAAUUCCAGGUGUAGCGGUGAAAUGCGUAGAUAUCUGGAGGAACACCGGUGGCGAAGGCGGCAUCCUGGACCAACACUGACGCUGAGUGAGCGAAAGCCAGGGGAGCAAACGGG
rnacentral:rRNA from 1 species